GAGUUUCAGUUUGUUUCCUUUGGUAGCGGGAGACAGGUGCGGUGUCAGUGUCGUCCUGCAGUUUGUAGUAGAGGAAACCUCUGUCUCGAGAGUGUUACUCAUAGAUGCGUAAACACUGAUCUUUCCAAUGUCACGAGGUUUUAAAUAUUAAGUGUUAGCUUGAAGUACUAUAGUGGUGUUCACUAUUGCCGCAUAGUACUAGACUUAUCUUGGCUAAUCAAAAGUGUAGCUUCGUGUGGUUUAGUACUAAUAUUCCCCACAUCAUAAAAAUCCCACAAGGAAUUCAUUUAGGUGCAGAAAUAUGUCUAGAUUUUGGAUGUGUCUGCCCCUUUUCCUGGCAAUGUCUUCAUCGUGGGCUCUGGAGUGCAUUAGGUGCAAGAAUUGUGGAGUGGAUGAAAUCGAAUAUAAACAAUGCCAUCCUAUGAAGGGCCGAUGUAUAGCGAUAGAAUUCAUGGGGAGGAUAAGGAAGACCUGUGCCCCAAGCAUUGUUUGUCACAUGAAGAAUCAAGCCGGGAAAGUAGGCUCUUUCAUUGGGGAAUAUUUGGCAGACGUCUUCGACAAGGCCGAAAUGGUGUCGACUGUAACUGGUAUUGUUGAUAGGAACAUCUACUGCUGUAAGGGUGACCUCUGCAACCUGGAGACGCCUUUCGACAGUUACUACUACGAUUAUCUUUCUGACGAUAGCUCUGGGAAGUUGGGGGCUAACUUUGCGCUCGUCCUGCCGCUACUGUUCCUUCUGUACGUCCUAGGCAAGUUCCUAGUCCUAUGAGGAGAGAAAGAGUUUCCUGGACAUUUCCUCCUGAAGCUUCAAAGUUGUGGUCACUGAUCUUGCCGUGAGUCUAUAGGCCAAGGUUGCUCUCCUUGAUAUCAAGUUAACGUUGAAAUUACUCUUGCCAUGGACUUAAAUGGGCCACUUGUAAACUUCUUACAGAACUGCUUUUUAAGUGUGUGUAUUCAUUAGAAAUUCGAGCAAUUAAGGCUAGGCCAGUGUAAUACACGUGUGCAAUUUUUUAUGUAUUAAUUUAUCGGAAACUAGAGGAAAUAUGAGGAGGCCAGUUUAGUACAUAACUUCAUGUCUGGAAAGUAUCGUGGUAUUGUUCCGUUGUAAAGCUCGAAUGCCAUAAUUAUUUUACUGGUUUUAAGAUUGUAUAUUGAGUUUUAUGUUUUAAGAACUUUGAAUCGCUGUACAUGUUAAUGUGCUAUAUUAGCAUCUGAAAAGAAUAAAUUAAAAUAUAUUUGCUAUUUGUGCUUAUAUAUAAGCUGGCGGGAGAGUUUUAUAAGAUGUAAAUAUUGUUAAAUUCUACCAUCAGAUUUUAGUCUAAUUUUAUAGUAAGAUGUGAAGAUAGGUGUCUAUACAUGGCAAUAAUUUCCAUGAACUGAUGGAAACUGCUGUUAUAAAUGUUUGUUUCCUUAUAAUACACAGUUGUAAACACACUGACCUCAUAUUAAAGGCUAGCAUAGUUAAAA